CCAUGCGGGCAGGCAGAUUCAAGUGUGGAGGGGCUUAGUGUGAGGGGAUCCAGGUGUGGGUUGAGAGGGUUCUGUAUGGGGCACUCUGGGUGCGGGCGGUUCAGUGGGGAAUCUGGGUACAG